CAUCCGAAGGGUGUGUUCCGGCGCUGCGCUCUGGAAUGUGCAGAGGUUUUAUUGUGAGAGCCCUGAGCUGUGUAUCAAUGAAACCCAUCUCUGUGCUAGGUUUCAUUGUCAGCGCCUUGAGUUGUGUGUCAACUGAAACCAUCUCUGUACAUGGAUUUUAUUGUUAGGGCUCUGAGCUGUGCAUCAACGAAAACCAUUUCUGUGCAAGAUUUUAUGGUGAGAAUCCAGAACUGAGCUAAACGCAACUGAUUUACACCAUCACACUACUGACUGAUCAUUCUUCAGAGAGAAACUUGCAAAAUUGCAAGUUGUGUGUAUCAUCAUCCACUCACCCAAGCCACCCUCUCCAAAUUGAAGGUCAUUUCCUAGUGAUAUAGCCAAAUUCUCUGAUUAUUUUAAUCUGAUUAUACUGCCAAAGAAUACUUACAGGAUCUGCUGAGUCAGCAGGUGGAUGUUUACCAAUGAAUGUUAUCUUUCUGGACUUCAGCCAAAGGAUGUUAUCUACCUAGACUUCAAGAAGGCCUUUGACAAAGUGCCGCACAGGAGGCUGCUGAGUAAAGCUCAAGAACAAAUACAAAAUUGUCAAAGACUUACUGAUUCAUCAACAAAGAAGAGAAAACAAAAUGCAAAUAAUAGUGGAAAUGCACCCUGUGAUUUCACUCUGCU